GCCAAUGUAGCUCAGCUGGUAGAGCAGCUCACUCGUAAUGAGCAGGUCGUCUGUUCGAAUCAGAUCAUUGGCUCCA
rnacentral:tRNA from 1 species